rnacentral:rRNA from 1 species
UAGGGAAUCUUCCGCAAUGGACGCAAGUCUGACGGAGCAACGCCGCGUGAGUGAAGAAGGAUUUCGGUUCGUAAAACUCUGUUGUUAGAGAAGAACAGCGCAUAGAGUAACUGUUAUGCGUGUGACGGUAUCUAACCAGAAAGCCACGGCUAACUACGUGCCAGCAGCCGCGGUAAUACGUAGGUGGCAAGCGUUGUCCGGAUUUAUUGGGCGUAAAGCGAGCGCAGGCGGUCAAUUAAGUCUGAUGUGAAAGCCCCCGGCUCAACCGGGGAGGGUCAUUGGAAACUGGUUGACUUGAGUGCAGAGGAGGAGAGUGGAAUUCCAUGUGUAGCGGUGAAAUGCGUAGAUAUAUGGAGGAACACCAGUGGCGAAAGCGACUCUCUGGUCUGUAACUGACGCUGAGGCUCGAAAGCGUGGGUAGCAAACAGG